rnacentral:rRNA from 1 species
UACGGGAGGCAGCAGUGGGGAAUAUUGCACAAUGGGCGCAAGCCUGAUGCAGCCAUGCCGCGUGUAUGAAGAAGGCCUUCGGGUUGUAAAGUACUUUCAGUCGUGAGGAAGGUGUUAAGGUUAAUAACCUUAGCAAUUGACGUUAGCGACAGAAGAAGCACCGGCUAACUCCGUGCCAGCAGCCGCGGUAAUACGGAGGGUGCGAGCGUUAAUCGGAAUUACUGGGCGUAAAGGGCACGCAGGCGGUUAAUUAAGUUGGAUGUGAAAUCCCCGGGCUUAACCUGGGAAUGGCAUUCAAGCUGGUUAGCUAGAGUCUUGUAGAGGGGGUAGAAUUCCAUGUGUAGCGGUGAAAUGCGUAGAGAUGUGGAGGAAUACCGGUGGCGAAGGCGGCCCCUGGACAAAGACUGACGCUCAUGUGCGAAAGCGUGGGGAGCAAA